rnacentral:rRNA from 1 species
UACGAAGGGGGCUAGCGUUGCUCGGAAUCACUGGGCGUAAAGCGCACGUAGGCGGAUCUUUAAGUCAGGGGUGAAAUCCCAAGGCUCAACCUUGGAACUGCCCUUGAUACUGGGGAUCUCGGGUCCGGAAGAGGUUGGUGGAACUCCGAGUGUAGAGGUGAAAUUCGUAGAUGUUCGGAAGAACACCAGUGGCGAAGGCGGCCAACUGGUCCGGCACUGACGCUGAGGUGCGAAAGCGUGGGGAGCAAACAGG